UUUCCUAUUCUCCUUCUCCGCUUCACCAUGUUUCGAGGACUCAGCUGUCACUCUAAAAAACCAUAAACAGGGAAGGGAGUAUUAUCAGCGGAUCUUCACUCUGCGACAAGAUCCGGUGAGGUAGCGGUCGUUCAAUAUAUCCAAUCUAAUCUGUUGGUUUUGAAUUCUAGGGAGAGGAAACUCAAGGUUAGAGGGUCGCCAUCCGAACAUUUUGGCGAAGAGCAAAGGUGGAGCCAUUUGGAAAGUAAGAAAAGUGUUGGUACAUAAUGUAUGAGGAAGCUAGCGAAGUAGCAAAUGAUGCAGUCAGGAGCAUGAGAACGGUUGCAUUAUUUUGUGUAGGGUAGAAAAUUUGAAAAUGUAUAAGAAGAAAUGUGAAGGUCCUACGAGAAACAGGAAUAUGUCAAGGCAUAGCCAGUAGUAUCAGUUUUCAGAGUUUCUUUCCUUUU